rnacentral:rRNA from 1 species
CACAGGCCAUGCCACCCUGAAUGUGCCCCAUCUCUUCUAAUCUUGGAAGCAUCUCAGGAUCAGGGCCUGCUUAGUACUUGGAUGGGAGACCAAGCAAGGAGGCAGGCAAGCAACUGGAA